rnacentral:rRNA from 1 species
AUGAACGCUGGCGGCGUGCCUAAUACCUGCAAGUCGAGCGAACAGACGAGGAGCUUGCUCCUCUGACGUUAGCGGCGGACGGGUGAGUAACACGUGGAUAACCUACCUAUAAGACUGGGAUAACUUCGGGAAACCGGAGCUAAUACCGGAUAAUAUAUUGAACCGCAUGGUUCAAUAGUGAAAGACGGUUUUGCUGUCACUUAUAGAUGGAUCCGCGCCGCAUUAGCUAGUUGGUAAGGUAACGGCUUACCAAGGCAACGAUGCGUAGCCGACCUGAGAGGGUGAUCGGCCACACUGGAACUGAGACACGGUCCAGACUCCUACGGGAGGCAGCAGUAGGGAAUCUUCCGCAAUGGGCGAAAGCCUGACGGAGCAACGCCGCGUGAGUGAUGAAGGUCUUCGGAUCGUAAAACUCUGUUAUUAGGGAAGAACAAAUGUGUAAGUAACUAUGCACGUCUUGACGGUACCUAAUCAGAAAGCCACGGCUAACUACGUG